UACGUAGGGACCAAGCGUUGUUCGGAUUUACUGGGCGUAAAGGGCGCGUAGGCGGCACUUCAAGUCAGUUGUGAAAUCUCCGAGCUUAACUCGGAACGGUCAACUGAUACUGUUUUGCUAGAGUACAGAAGGGGCAAUCGGAAUUCUUGGUGUAGCGGUGAAAUGCGUAGAUAUCAAGAGGAACACCUGAGGUGAAGACGGGUUGCUGGGCUGAUACUGACGCUGAAGCGCGAAAGCUAGGGUAGCAAACGGG
rnacentral:rRNA from 1 species